rnacentral:lncRNA from 1 species
CUGAAAUUAUAGAAGGGGUGAAGAGGCAUCUUUUUGGUAAUUUAUCAUAAUGUUUAGUAACAGCAAUUUGCAGUAAUGAAAUAACUAAUCUUUACUUCUCCUGGGUAUGUGUUAUAUUUUUUGGCUUAUGCUUUACUUACUUUUUUUUAUUACUCCAUUUCCUAAAUUAUUUAAACUUACAAGGCAAACUCUAACUUAUUAAUGGUAAGGCAGGCUUCGGAAAUGAGAAUCAUGCAAAUAAUGAUUUCAUUUUUUACCCGUGUUUUUAAGGGACUGAGAUACCUUUGUCAUUUACCUGGGAUUUACAGGGACCAAAAAGCUGGACAUCAUUCACCACCGGGAACAGCACCAUGCAGUCCCUGUUUGAGGACAGUGGGACCCAGGAGCGGCUCCUCUCACCUGGAGUGCUGCUGAGGAAGGAUGAUGACAUCGCUGACUCCGUUUUUCCUUUUUCAGGCAGGUGUCCGUUUGUUCAUUUUGAAACUGAGUCCCAGGGAAAACACCUAGCUGUUCACAUUCUUCAAAACAACAACAAACCAGCACUUUUGUAAAUGGUUUUAAUUUUGACAAAAGAAGGCCUUUUUCUAAGGUGACGUGAACGGGGGAAAUUACCUCAAAUUUAUGACAUUAUUUUCUAGCAUCC